rnacentral:ncRNA from 2 species
UCAAGCCGUGUACUUGGAAAACUUGUAAGCACGGUUUCUCGGGGGGAAAGGGGCAGCAAUGCCUCUGACCUACCCUAC